GAUGAACGCUGGCGGCGUGCCUAAUACAUGCAAGUCGAGCGAACAGACGAGGAGCUUGCUCCUCUGACGUUAGCGGCGGACGGGUGAGUAACACGUGGAUAACCUACCUAUAAGACUGGGAUAACUUCGGGAAACCGGAGCUAAUACCGUAUAAUAUAUUGAACCGCAUGGGUCAAUGGUGAGAGACGGUUGUGCUGUCACUUAUAGAUGGAUCCGCGCCGCAUUAGCUAGUUGGUAAGGUCACGGCUUACCAAGGCAACGAUGCGUAGCCGACCUGAGAGGGUGAUCGGCCACACUGGAACUGAGACAGGGUCCAGACUACUACGGGAGGCAGCAGUAGGGAACCUUCCGCAAUGGGCGAAAGCCUGACGGAGCAACGCCGCGUGAGUGAUGAAGGUCUUCGGAUCGUAAAACUCUGUUAUUAGGGAAGAACAAAUGUGUAAGUAACUAUGCACGUAUUGACGGUACCUAAUCAGAAAGCCACGGCUAACUACGUG
rnacentral:rRNA from 1 species